rnacentral:rRNA from 1 species
UGCCAGUGAUAAACUGGAGGAAGGUGGGGAUGACGUCAAGUCAUCAUGGCCCUUACGACCAGGGCUACACACGUGCUACAAUGGCAUAUACAAAGAGAAGCGACCUCGCGAGAGCAAGCGGACCUCAUAAAGUAUGUCGUAGUCCGGAUUGGAGUCUGCAACUCGACUCCAUGAAGUCGGAAUCGCUAGUAAUCGUAGAUCAGAAUGCUACGGUGAAUACGUUCCCGGGCCUUGUACACACCGCCCGUCACACCAUGG